GACAUAACCGCUCCGUUGACCUAGUGGUAGGAGCGUCCGCCUCGGAUGCGGGAGGUCGUGAGUUCGAUCCCCGAUUGAGUCA